GGCGAGGUAGCUCAGUGGUAGAGCUAGGGACUCAUAAGCCCUCGGUCGUGGGUUCGAAUCCCACCCUCGUCACCA
rnacentral:tRNA from 1 species